rnacentral:rRNA from 1 species
UACGUAGGGGGCAAGCGUUGUCCGGAAUCAUUGGGCGUAAAGAGCGUGUAGGCGGCCCGUUAAGUCCGCUGUGAAAGUCCAGGGCUCAACCCUGGGAUGCCGGUGGAUACUGUCGGGCUCGAGUCCGGUAGAGGCGAGUGGAAUUCCUGGUGUAGCGGUGAAAUGCGCAGAUAUCAGGAGGAACACCAAUGGCGAAGGCAGCUCGCUGGGACGUGACUGACGCUGAGACGCGAAAGCGUGGGGAGCAAACAGG